ACAUAUUUUUGCAAAAUUGGUUUUCGGGCUUAAUAACCCGAAAUUAAAAGGGAAUCGAAGUGUAAGUCUUCAACUGUCCCCGCAACUGUAGAUCGUAUAAAGAGAUUGCAUCAAGACCAUUGUCGCCGACGAGAAGGGGUGUAAUCAACGAAAGUCAGGAGACCUGCCAAAUUUAACUUAACAAA
rnacentral:ncRNA from 1 species